rnacentral:rRNA from 1 species
CCUACGGGUGGCAGCAGUGAGGAAUAUUGGUCAAUGGACGAGAGUCUGAACCAGCCAAGUCGCGUGAAGGAUGACUGCCCUAUGGGUUGUAAACUUCUUUUAUACAGGAAUAAAAUGAGGCACGUGUGCCUUUUUGCAUGUACUUUAUGAAUAAGGAUCGGCUAACUCCGUGCCAGCAGCCGCGGUAAUACGGAGGAUCCGAGCGUUAUCCGGAUUUAUUGGGUUUAAAGGGAGCGUAGAUGGGUUGUUAAGUCAGUUGUGAAAGUUUGCGGCUCAACCGUAAAAUUGCAAUUGAUACUGGCAGUCUUGAGUACAGUUGAGGUAGGCGGAAUUCGUGGUGUAGCGGUGAAAUGCUUAGAUAUCACGAAGAACCCCGAUUGCGAAGGCAGCUUACUAAACUGUGACUGACAUUGAUGCUCGAAAGUGUGGGUAGCAAACAGGAUUAGAUACCCGUGUAGUC